GGCGAAGGAUGCAAGCGUUAUCCGGAUUCAUUGGGUUUAAAGGGAGCGUAGGUGGCCUUAUAAGUCAGUGGUGAAAUCUCUGGGCUUAACCCAGAAAUUGCCAUUGAUACUGUAGGGCUUGAGUAUAGAUGCCGUUGGCGGAAUAUGACAUGUAGUGGUGAAAUACAUAGAGAUGUCAUAGAACACCGAUUGCGAAGGCAGCUAACGAAACUAUAACUGACACUGAGGCUCGAAAAGUGUGGGGAUCAAACAGGG
rnacentral:rRNA from 1 species